AGCAGCCGCGAUUUUGUAGUUGAAUUUCGAGAUCAAAUUGUCGGUCGUGCCUCGGUACGUACUGGCAUUACCGAUUUUUCUAUUCUGAUCACAAUGUCAUUAAAUUUUGUGUCGUAGGGAAUCAGGACUGUUAGUUUGAAAAAAUUAGUGUUUUUAAAGCAGGCUCACGCUUGAAUAUACAUUAGCAUGGAAUAACGAAGUAGGACGCUUGAUUCUAUUUUGUUGAUUUCUAGGAUCGAUGUAAUGAUUAAUAGAUCCCAGGGUCGAAUGGUUAUAUU
rnacentral:rRNA from 1 species